UCCUUUAUUAAUUAGUUACAAUCGUAGCAUCAGAAACAAUCAGGGGGAUAACCGCUCCUGGGGCCGUAUGUAACACCCACGAUGCGGCUAUAUCUCCCACGUGUCAAAGCACGACUUAGAGGCAUAACCACAUUGUGGUUUUGUCGCAAGAAGGGUCAUCUUCACACAAUCCCAUGUAAUGAACAAGACUGGGAUAAAGAGUUGGCUUACAAUCGCCACUUCACACAAGUACUUAAAUAAAUCAUACAUCAUUCAGAGUACACACAUAGUCCGACUACGGACGAAGCCAAAAGAAAAAGAAGAUAACCCAACUGCUAGAUCCCCGAUCGUCCCAACUGGGCUCCACUACUGAUCAACAAGAAACAACACAUAGCAACAACUAAGAUCUUCGUUGAGCUCCCAUCUGAGCUAGGUAGCAUCCUUUGCACUGGUAUCAUCGGCACCUGCAACUGUUGUGAUAGUAUCUGGUGAGUCACGAGGACUCAGCAAUCUCAAAACCCGCGAGAUCAAGACUAUUUAAGCUUAUAGGAAGGAUGGGGUAAUGAGGUGGAGCUGCAGCAAGCACUAAGCAAAUAUGGUGGCUAACAUACGCAAAAGAGAGCGAGAAGAGGAGCAAAGGAACGGUCGUCAACUAGAAAUGAUCAAGAGGUGAUCCUGACCUCCUACUUACGUCAAACAUAACCCAAAACCGUGUUCACUUCCCGGACUCCGCCGAGAAGAGACCAUCACGGCUACACACGCGGUUGAUGCGUUUUAAUUCGGAUCUGGUGUCAAGUUGUCUACAACCGGACAUUAACAAAUUCCCAUCUGCCACAUAACCGCGGGCACGGCUCUCGAAAGUUUAUACCCUGCAGGGGUGUUUCAACUUAGCCCAUCACAAGCUCUCACGGUCAACGAAGGAUAUUCCUUCUCCCAGGAAGACCCGAUCAGUCUCGGAAUCCCGGUUUAUAAGACAUUUCGACAAUGGUAAAACAAGACCAGCAAGACCACCCGCUGUGCCAACAAAUCCCGAUAGGAGCUGCACAUAUCUCGUUCUCAGGGCACACCGGAUAAGCUAAGCGUACAGGUACCAACGUAAUCCAAGUUGCCAAGGAAUGGUCCCGCACGGUGCUCUAGUUUGGACCAACACUCGAAGGAGCACUGGCCCGGGGGGGUAAAAUAAAGAUGAUCCUUGAGUCUGCAGAACCCAAGGGAAAAAGGCUUAGGUGGCAAAUGUUAAAACCAAGGUUGGGCCUUGCUGGAGGAGUUUUAUUCAAAGCGAACUGUCAAGGGGGUCCCAUAAAUCACCCAACCGCGUAAGGAACGCAAAAUCAAGGAACAUAACACCGGUAUGACGGAAACUAGGGCGGCAAGAGUGGAACAAAACACCAGGCAUAAGGCCGAGCCUUCCACCCUUUACCAAGUAUAUAGAUGCAUUAAUUAAAUAAGAGAUAUUGUGAUAUCCCAACAUAAUCUUGUCCAACAUGGAGCAAUCUUCAACUUCACCUACAACUAGCAACGCUAUAAGAGGGGCUGAGCAAAGCGGUAACAUAGCCAAGCAAUGGUUUGCUAGGAAGGGUGAAAAUGUUAGAGGCUGACAUGGCAAUUUGGGAGGCUUGGUAAAACAAGUGAUAGGUAGCGCAGCAUAGCGAUAGAACGGAGCAACUAGCAAGCAAAGAUAGAAGUGAUAUCAAGGGUAACGGUCAUCUUGCUUGAGAUCCCGCAAGGAAGAAGAACGAGUCCAUGAAGAAGACAAACGCACGUAGUCGCACGAAUCCUCACAACUCCAGAACGAAACCGAAGCUAACGAGAGAAGCAAACCGGAAAGAAACAAACAACAUGGUAAACACACAAGCAUAAACAUGUCAUGAUGCACAAACAAGUAUGAUGCAUGUCCGGUUUAAUGAGGCAUGACAUGACAAGGUGAAACAAACAACACUACAAUUUAAGUGGAGCUCAAUAUGCAACGAGUUGCAUAUUGACGAAACACCACAUCAAUUAUUUAGUUCUCUCUCGGUUAAGAUACUCAAUAAUAUUAAAUGUUGGUUAACAUGGCAAGAGGUGAAGCAUAAUUAAACUACAUAUUUAGGCAAGUUUAAAUGAGGCCGGAAACACAAACAACACUUCCGAAAAAUCCCCAUGUCAUUUAGCAAUUUAAAGCAAGCAACAAUUUUAAACAUUUUAAUUGUUGUUAUCCUGAUGCGGAUGACAUAUGCAAGUUUUAUGCAAUUUUUAUGAAAAUGUUGACAUAAGCAUGUUAUGAAGCAUUUGUCACCGUGGCGGAACGAAAGGGGUGCCACGGCAACUACAACGGAAAUGGUGCCACGGCAACAUUCCGGUGAUCCGACAACUCGUCGAGAUGUGGGUGCAAAAGAAAGUGUGCGGAUGUGCGGAACAUGCAAAAUAUGGUGGGGUGAUCUCGGAUACCGGGUACCCACGUGACAGUGGCAUGGCAAAAUGAUGGACAUGCACGAAACAAACGGGCAUGGUGCAAACAAGGACAUCUCAUUCAACACAUGCAUUCGGCGGUCGUCUCGGCUGUUAUUCCUUCGAAGCGUGCAUUUUCAGGGCGAAAUGAGUUCAACGAAGGAAGUAGUGGUACACGGGCCGUAGUGGAAGUAGUCGUUCUCGCGGCCGUAGUGGAAGUAGUUUUUCACGUGGCGACGGUAGUGGAAGUAGGCGUUCACGGGACGUCGUGUAGCCGUACAUGUUCGAAGCAGAACUUGGCGUAUCCACGUAGUUGGCGUUCCGGUCCUGUAGUCGUACUAGGCAUCCGGUGAACUUGGCGAAAUCCACGAAGGCGUAGACGUUCCAAUGUACUUGAUGCAUCAGCAGGUGUAGUCGGUCUUGACGAUCCAAAACGAAGCAAAACCAGGGCCUCGAGUGGCAGCAGCAAGGAGGCGAAGGAGCCCUGGCCAGAGAUGGUUUAGGUAGCGGCAAACCAUGAGCAAGGUGGGGCUGCCGGGCCAAGGUGGAGGCGCUCGGUCCUCGGGCACGAGCGGGAGGCGGACAGCAGCGGACGAAGGCGGCAGUGAGGCGACGGGGGACAAGGGCGAGGCGGCGUCGCGGGGUUACGGGAGGCGAAGCCACACGGGUCACGCGGCUGUUGUUGGUGGGGCGGCACACGAGGAGGUCAGGGAUGGGUCGUCGUGGCUGGAACCAGGGUGGAGGCGCACAGGAGGAGGGUGGAGGCGCGCUGGAGGUGGUGGUCCUCGCGGGUGCAAGGCGGUCGGUGCUGGGCUCCAACGAACUCCAGCCAAAACGGAGGGGACGAGCAGCGCGGGGCUCCUGCUGGGCGCGGAGGACGAUGGAUGAGGGCGCAGGUGCUCGAGGAGCUCCUCUCCUCGAGUGCUCGGGCGACAGGGACUUGGCGAGGCGGCACGGAUGGGACGCCGACGGCAAGGGCGACGCAGAGAUCGUCAAUGCGCCAACGUGCGGGGUCGGCCUCGAGGAGGUCGAUGAGGGGAAGGAAGGAGCGGCGCGGCUCUGGGGUAGCCGGCGAGCUGCGGGCGGCUGGCGGCGCUGGAGAGAUCAAGCAGGGGAAGCGAGAGGGGGAUUCGAUCAGGCUAGGGUUAGAUAGGCGCGGCUGGGCUUAGGAGGGAUAGUUGGGCCGCUGGUUGGGCCUCGUGGCCUGCUAGGAACAGGCCGAGUUGCGGCUGCUCUCCUUCUCUCUCCCAAAAACAGAAAAAUGACAAGGAAGAAAAAGAAGAAAUGAAGGUAGAGAUAGAAUUUGGGCAUGGGGAUUAUUUCCCCGGACUCGCAUAAAUGCGCUUGUUCCAAGAAAAAUAGAAAGUGAGCAUGGGCGUGAAGUAGAAUUCAAACUCAUUUGAAUUUAAUUCAAAUGGUUUGAACUAGGACAAGGUUUGGAGACUAAACUUGAAGCAUAAAAGGAACGAAAUUAUUUUGCAAGUGUGUUUAUGGGUGAUUCCAAAUAAAUGGAAUAAUUUUAGUAUAGCUCCCUAAUAAUAGUAGGAGACUUUGAAUAUGUUUUAAAGAGAAAUCACCAUGUGAAUAUCCCUCGAUUUAAAUAGAUCAAAAGAUCUAUGCAAUUUAUUUAGUUGAGGUUUUAAAAAAUUUAUGAUAUGAUGGCAUGAUGACAUGAUGCAAUACAAGAGAUGGCAUGAUGAAUCCACAAACAAAACAAAUCACACGAUAAAACUCAAAAUAGCUGGAAGUCUUCUGGAGCGUCGGUCUCGGGGCGUUACAACACUCCACCACUACAAGAGGAUCUCGUCCCGAGAUCUAGGAUGGCACCGGAGAGAAAUGGAAGAUGAAGAGAAGAGGUAAAACUAAGUUGCUUCUUCGACCAAUGAGUGAAACCAAAGAACCUUGAGAGGUUGAAAAGUUGAAAGAAAGAACACAAUGGAGUUGAACACAAUCGAGAGCACUGCGGUAGAAAAUAGAAACAAGGAACACCAUGUGAACCUUGGAGGUUGCAAAGCUAUGAAUGACGAGUACAAUGGACAAGAAGGAAUUGGAACCACUCUGGUUGAAACGAGAGGCAAAACUUGAUAAGAUGAAAGAACUUGAAUGAGAACACAACACUCCGGUUAAAUGGAUAAGCAUGAAAAGAACACGAUCCUCUAUUCGAGAAGAGGAGUGAAGAGAGCAACAUCACAAUGCCUCCGAAAGAAAUAAUAGAAGAUAGAUCAUUGGAAUAACAGAAUGGAGAAGAAAAUGCCAAGCACCCUUCCAAGAAGGUUAUAACGGAGUUGUUGGAAAACCAACAACGAAACGAAUAAGCUUGUAGUGGGCUUAUGGAAAACAUCUCAAAAUUGAGGCAAAAUUCUGCCACUACGGAAACAACUAAUAUAAUUGAUAACACGAACGAGAUGAAAAAAAAACUUCUUCCAACAAGAUGAUAGAGAGAUAACUUGGAUCAUUGAUAAGCACCACAAUAGCAACAUUCCUUAGGGAAGGCUUUAGGUGAAAUAUAACCCAAGAUAACUCCAAUAAAGAGAUUGAUGGAUUUAAAAUACCUCAUUCUUGACAACAUAUGAAUCAAGAAACAUGAAGGAAAUUGUCAAGAGUGACAUAACACCACCUCAAAAGAUAAGGUAGAAAGAAUCGCACUUUGGAAUGCAAGAUGAAGAAUACUUGAACUCCCCAAAACAAAACAUGUGUUGAGCACCAUGUUUAUCUUAGAGUAUAGCUUGGCGGAUCAUAACUUUGAGAGAAAACUUAAGGAACAAUUGAAGAAUGAAAGAAUCCUUGACGAACCACCAUGUAGAACCUCCAUGAAGAACUCCGGUAAUAAAAGGAUGAUAGAAAGAAAGAGAGGUUGAAAACACAAGGUGAAACCUUGCAAUGAUUUAGAUGGAGCUUCGCGACGAUAUAACCGAGGAAACUUGGGACUCCGGGAACAAAAGAUGAACAACUAGGAACCGAGAAUUACUUCAUCAAGAACAAUCUUCGGAAGAAAAGAAUUGAAUCACCUCGAGGAAUAAGAAUAAUAUUUAUUGUAUGAUUAUCUUCCAUCAAAAUUAAAUUGAUGACAAGCAGCAGAUAGGCAUGCUACUUAUUCUCGUAGAAAGGAUUAAAAAGAGUUAUAGCGCGAACUUGAAAAAGGUCUUCAACAACCACCGGUAGGAUUGAAACAAUGAAAGAAUGAAUGAAUUGAUACGAUAACGAAGGAAGCGAAAUCUUGAACGAACCGUCAUAAGAAUUGAAAAUGAACGUAGCAAAGGCACAAUUCACCGGGAAGGAUUGAAAAACGAAUGAAGAUACUUGAGGGUUUAGAUACAUGAGAACGAAGAGAUCAUGAACUGAUUAGAGGAUAUUUGAACGAUGCACCGGUAAGAUUUGAAGAACGAUAGCUACACGCUGAGAAUGAAGAAUUAUGACAUGAUGGCCUUCGGAGGAAAGAAAUGGAAACAACUCAUGAAAUGCUCUGGAUGGGUGAAAAGAAUUGUCACAAUCAAAAACAAUUAUGAGAGGAUGGCAUCAAGCUAGAACCAUGAAUCUCUGGAAGAACGGGUAAGGAUUUAAGAGGAACUCUUCUUCGGUCUUCAAAAUUCGAGCAUGACGACGAGAAACACCACCAUGAAUUGUUGAGGCACUCCGGAAUGACCAUUAGAAAGGUUGAACCAACAAUGAAAAAUAAUUUGAAAUUGGUCUUGGAAAACAUCUGACUGAUGAAAUUCAUUCUUACGUCAAACUUCAAAAAGAAUUCGGAAAUAGCUCCGGGGAAAAUUAGAAGAGUCAGGUAAGAUCCUGGGAAAGACAUGUGGGUUAGGGCCCACUCAAUGGAAAACACCGUUGAAUGAUUGAUUGAAAAGAGAGAUUGCACCGGUUGAAAUAAAUGGCUUAAAUGAGAUAACAACCUCAAAGUAACUUGAACGGAUUGAGAAUGGAAACACAAAUCUUCCUGAGAAAAUCUUAAUCACUCCGGAACAAAUGAAUAGCGAGAAGUGAAUGAUUAAGAGGUGCAUCGGCAUGAGAAAGCAUUAGAAACGAGGAAAGGAAUAUGAUGAAAACCGAAAUCUUGAAUUGAAUCCACCGGAGAAGAAAAGAGACGAAGAAUAAUAAACUUGAAGCUCCGUUAGUAUCUUCCUGAGAAUCAUCGGAUAAGAACAUUGACGGAAAAGAAUGUAGAGACUUCGCAUCAAUAAAAGGAUACUUGAUUAAGAAAUUUGAGUCCUUGAAGAAAAGGGUGGGAGGGCGGGAAAACAAAGGCAACUUGGGGAAGAUGGAACCAACCCUGUUGAGAAAACUUAAAAUUGAUCUUGCGGAUGUUGAAAUGAUCGGAUCCCACUUGAAAAGAAGCACACUGGUUGAGAAGAAAUUGAGAUGACAAACUCGAAGAUCAAGAAAGAUUAGUAUUUCACAUAGGAAUAUGAGAACAACAUUUAGGAAAGGUAUGGAUUCAACAUUUGACUUCGAAGCAACUCGAAUACCACAAAUAAAACAAAACAAAGGAUUGGGCUUGCAGAAUAAGCCGGAACAAACAUAUGAUAGAGAUUCCGUCUGAAGUUUUCAUGGUGGGGCCUACACGGGCUCGAUCGUACAUCACCAUCAUGUACAAGGCAGUGCACAUGACAUACGAAGUGUCCCCGAAUCGGCAUAGCCAAGGAUUCUUUAAGACACAACGAGACCACUGUAAAAAACAACCGUGGAUAGGCGGACCACUAGAUGUCGAACCCCAAUCUCAUAUCAUGCAUCUGUCGGAAAGAUAUUCUAGGAGCUACUUGAAUUCCCACCUAUAAAACUCCUGAAACUUUCUGGUCAUGCAAUCUGGUGUUGGGGAUACAGGGGAAGCAAUAUAUAUAUCUCGCCCAAAACUAACAAUCCCUACAACCAAGUUGUAUCCAUCCGUCAACACAUAACCAAGAAACCUUCGGAAAUCGUGUACCUCAACCUUCGAAAAGAAUCCGUUAUACAAGCUAUGGCAAUACUCCCGAACUCCCCAGUACUGGGUGGCGUCGAGGUUAUCUCACCAACAACUGCAUAAAAGAGAUUUUCGAUGUCGGCAAAACUCAGGUAUUGCAGAACUGCAACGACAAAAUUAUGAUGACAACACCUCGGAGCUCAACUCCCCGGGACACUGCCACAACCCCUAAAUGUCAGGAGGCACCAAGAACAAUGUUCUCAUCAUAAGAAUAUCGGAACGAUCCCAAGAUACCCGCGUGAUCCUAAAAAAAAUUUAGUGAAAUUUGAGGCGAGGAAAGACAAAACAUCUACGUCAGGAGGCCUCACCAGAGCGACGAAGGGGCUGAGGAGUAAAAAGAAUCCUACUCUCCGAUAUAUAUAAUCCUAAGACUCAAAACAUUUUUGUUCUAGACUCAACAACGCCAGCGAUUCGAUCAAGCAAGGGGCUCCUAAGUCGGGGAUGGCUCUGAUUACCAACUUGUAACACCCACGAUGCGGCUAUAUCUCCCAUGUGUCGAAGCACGACUUAGAGGCAUAACCGCAUUGUGGUUUUGUCGCAAGAAGGGUCAUCUUCACACAAUCCCAUGUAAUGAACAAGAUUGGGAUAAAGAGUUGGCUUACAAUCGCCACUUCACACAAGUACUUAAAUAAAUCAUACAUCAUUCAGAGUACACACAUAGUCCGACUACGGACGAAGCCAAAAGAAAAGAAGAUAACCCAACUGCUAGAUCCCCGAUCGUCCCAAUUGGGCUCCACUACUGAUCAACAAGAAACAACACAUAGCAACAACUAAGAUCUUCGUUGAGCUCCCAUCUAAGCUAGGUAGCAUCCUCUGCACUGGUAUCAUCGGCACCUGCAACUGUUGUGAUAGUAUCUGGUGAGUCACGAGGACUCAGCAAUCUCAAAACCCGCGAGAUCAAGACUAUUUAAGCUUAUAGGAAGGAUGGGGUAAUGAGGUGGAGCUGCAGCAAGCACUAAGCAAAUAUGGUGGCUAACAUACGCAAAAGAGAGCGAGAAGAGGAGCAAAGGAACGGUCGUCAACUAGAAAUGAUCAAGAGGUGAUCCUGAACUCCUACUUACGUCAAACAUAACCCAAAACCGUGUUCACUUCCUGGACUCCACCAAGAAGAGACCAUCACGGCUACACACGCGGUUGAUGCAUUUUAAUUUGGAUCUGGUGUCAAGUUGUCUACAACCGGACAUUAACAAAUUCCCAUCUGCCACAUAACCGCGGGCACGGCUCUCGAAAGUUUAUACCCUGCAGGGGUGUCCCAACUUAGCCCAUCACAAGCUCUCACGGUCAACGAAGGAUAUUCCUUCUCCCAGGAAGACCCGAUCAGUCACGGAAUCCCGGUUUACAAGACAUUUCGACAAUGGUAAAACAAGACCAGCAAGACCACCCGCUGUGCCGACAAAUCCCGAUAGGAGCUGCACAUAUCUCGUUCUCAGGGCACACCGGAUAAGCUAAGCGUACAGGUAUCGACGUAAUCCAAGUUGCCAAGGAAUGGUCCCGCACGGUGCUCUAGUUUGGACCAACACUCGAAGGAGCACUGGCCCGGGGGGAGGGGGUAAAAUAAAGAUGACCCUUGAGUCUGCAGAACCCAAGGGAAAAAGGCUUAGGUGGCAAAUGUUAAAACCAAGGUUGGGCCUUGCUGGAGGAGUUUUAUUCAAAACGAACUGUCAAGGGGUCCCAUAAAUCACCCAACCGCGUAAGGAACGCAAAAUCAAGGAACAUAACAUCGGUAUGACGGAAACUAGGGCGGCAAAAGUGGAACAAAACACCAGGCAUAAGGCCGAGCCUUCCACCCUCUACCAAGUAUAUAGAUACAUUAAUUAAAUAAGAGAUAUUGUCAUAUCCCAACAUAAUCCUGUCCAACAUGGAGCAAUCUUCAACUUCACCUGCAACUAGCAAUGAUAUAAGAGGGGCUGAGAAAAGCGGUAACAUAGCCAAGCAAUGGUUUGCUAGGAAGGGUGAAAAUGUUAAAGGCUGACAUGGCAAUCUGGGAGGCUUGGUAAAACAAGUGAUAGGUAGCGCAGCAUAGCGAUAGAACGGAGCAACUAGCAAGCAAAGAUAGAAGUGAUAUCAAGGGUAAUGGUCAUCUUGCCUGAGAUCCCGCAAGGAAGAAGAACGAGUCCAUGAAGAAGACAAACGCAUGUAGUCGCACGAAUCCUCACAACUCCGGAACGAAACCG
rnacentral:lncRNA from 1 species